GCCUCAGCCUCCUGAGAAGCUGGGACUACAGGCACCCACCACCAUGCCUAAUUUAUUUGUAGUUUUAGUAGAGACGGGGUUUUACAGUGUUAGCCAGGAAGAUCUUAUCUCCUGACCUCGUGAUCCGCCCGCCUCGGGCUCCCAAAGUGCUGAGAUUACAGGUGUGAGCCACUGCGCUCGGCCAGCGCCCGGCCAGUUUCUGUACUGCAUUACAGAUAGCCAAUCUGAGACCUCUUCUAGAGGGCUAUGGUGGCUGCUUUGCAUGUCUGCUUCCCUCCACGAGGAGGGCAAGGCCCACGUUGGUUCAACCUUGCAUAAAUGUUGGCUGAAUGAAUGAAUUCAAUAAAUUCUAAAUAAGCACCAAAUGUGUGAUGGGUGCUUGCUGUGGAGGAUACAAGGAUGAGCAAGAUGUGUUCUCUGCCUCCAAAGAGCUUACAUUCGAUGGGAGAGGCAAGGUACGUGAACAAGGAAAGUGGAAGGAAACACAGAAGCCAUGUCCCAGCAAGUGAGCACUCAAUAUGGCCAGCAUUCUAAUCUGGUGCUGCCCGUAACUUGCUGGAAGCCUCUAAGCAGGCUUCUUAGCCACUCUGGCCUUGGAACCCAGCAAGAGUAAUUCCUAUAGAUUGACGAUGGGGCUGCCAUUGGAUUCAGAUCACAGGAAGGGGCAAGUGACAGGUGCCUCUUCUUCCAAAGUCACAGGAGGGAGGGAGUCCCCCCGUCUAAGCCUCUUACCUGACCACAGUCUAGUUCAUGGUGUCUGAAGCUGACACGAUUGACAUUGGAGGCUGGAUAAUUCUUUGCUGUAAGGUCUAUCCUGAGCAUUGUAGGUUUUUUAGAAGUACUCACUAGAGGCUGGCCACCGUGGCCGGCCCUAACUUUUGUAUUUUUAGUAGAGAUGGGGUUUCACCAUGUUCGCCAGGCUGGUCUCAAACUCCUGACUUCAGAUGAUCUUGGCCUUCCAAAGUGCUGGGAUUACAGUCGUGAGCCACCGCACCUGGCCUGUAUAAUCUGGUGAUAGGCUUCUGAUCGGCAUGCACAUGUCCUCCAUGUCUGACCAAACCCACAGAUUCCCUGUGGGCUGAGCUUUGUACCUACAAAAAGGUGGAUGAGUCUAAGAGACAGGAUGAAUGGAUGGGAGGACUGGAGGAUGAUGGAGGAGGAAGGCACUGGGUUUGACUACCAGAUUCUGGCUUGGACAAGUGGGUGGAAGGAGAUGCCCACCAGAGAGAGGAGGAAUCAGGAAAGUAGGCAGCAAGGAGACUGGGGCUCAUGGGCAGGAAAGUUUGAGGUCCCGCUCUGAUGGGGGAGUGACCCAGCAUCCUAACGCACCAGCCGCCCCUUCUUCCACCAAAUCAUUCUGUGGGCCUUCUGCUGGGCAAUUGCAGGGGCAGUUUUGGCCUCACACACAGGACACUGAGGAUCACAAGUGAUUGUUCAGUUCGUAUGUGAUCUGAACAGGCCAGCGUUUGCUGUGUCCAGCACCAUCACUCAAUGGCUUGAGAGCACAAUGGAGACUCCCAUCCAGGAAUGUGAGAGCAGCUGUUCAGCUGUUUGAGAGCAGACAUUUGCUUACUGUCUUUUUGUAAGACCUUUCAUAUACGUGGCCUUUUUUUUUUGAGAUAAGGUCUUGCUCUGUCACCCAGGCUGGAGUGCAGUGGUGCAAUCACAGCUCAUUGCAGACCUCCUGAGUUCAAGCGACCUUCCCACCUCAGCCUCUCACGUAGCUGGGAUGACAGGUGUGAGCCACCAUGUCCAGCUAACUUUUGUUUUUUCUUAGACGGAGUCUUGCUCUGUCGCCCAGGCUGGAGUGCAGUAGCACAAUCUCGGUUCACUGCAACCUCCAUCUCCCGGGUUCAAAU
rnacentral:lncRNA from 10 species